UGGAUGGUUACCUUCAAAAGAACGUCGCUGGUGUAAUAUGGUUAGAUAUUGGAACCGAUUGAUGGAUAUGGACAAUAGUAGACUUUGUAAAAGGGUGUUCCUAUGGGACUACGAAUUAUCUACGAACAAUUGGUCAACUAGUGUAAGAACAAUAAUGUCUUUAGUUGGUAUGGAUGAUAACUUUCAACAAAUGCUAAAAUGUGAUGUUACUAGCGUCAGAAACAAUCUUAUGGAUAUAUGUGCAACAAAAUGGCAUACAAACUUAUCUAACUUUCCGAAACUUCGUACAUAUAGAACUUUUAAAUCUACAUAUUCAACAGAAACAUAUGUUAAACAAAAUUUAAAACGUAGAGAAAGAUCGGUACUGGCCCAGUUUAGAUGUGGCAUUCUUCCGCUAAGAUUAGAAACAGGACGUUUUGUUGGUGAGCCAGAAUACCAACGGAUAUGUAGAAUGUGCGACUCCGGACAUGUUGAAAAUGAACUACACUUUCUGAUUGAAUGCCAAUUUUACAAUGGACUACGUAAUAAAUUAUUCUCUGGACUUAGUGAAACCGUAUUAAAUUUGAAUAACAGUGAAAAGUUAAAUUUAUUAUUGUCAGAAUAUCCUCGAAAAACAGCUCAAUACUUAGAACAUUCAUUAACAAAACGCAGACAACACUUAUAUUUAAAU
rnacentral:lncRNA from 1 species